AAUCCAUAGGUUAAUGAGGCGAACCGGGGGAACUGAAACAUCUAAGUACCCCGAGGAAAAGAAAUCAACCGAGAUUCCCCCAGUAGCGGCGAGCGAACGGGGAGGAGCCCAGAGCCUGAAUCAGCAUGUGUGUUAGUGGAAGCGUCUGGAAAGGCGCGCGAUACAGGGUGACAGCCCCGUACACAAAAGCGCAUGUGCUGUGAGCUCGAUGAGUAGGGCGGGACACGUGGUAUCCUGUCUGAAUAUGGGGGGACCAUCCUCCAAGGCUAAAUACUCCUGACUGACCGAUAGUGAACCAGUACCGUGAGGGAAAGGCGAAAAGAACCCCGGCGAGGGGAGUGAAAAAGAACCUGAAACCGUGUACGUACAAGCAGUGGGAGCACAGGUUUACCUGUGUGACUGCGUACCUUUUGUAUAAUGGGUCAGCGACUUAUAUUCUGUAGCAAGGUUAACCGUAUAGGGGAGCCGUAGGGAAACCGAGUCUUAACCGGGCGUUAAGUUGCAGGGUAUAGACCCGAAACCCGGUGAUCUAGCCAUGGGCAGGUUGAAGGUUGGGUAACACUAACUGGAGGACCGAACCGACUAAUGUUGAAAAAUUAGCGGAUGACCUGUGGCUGGGGGUGAAAGGCCAAUCAAACCGGGAGAUAGCUGGUUCUCCCCGAAAGCUAUUUAGGUAGCGCCUCGUGAAUUCAUCUCCGGGGGUAGAGCACUGUUUCGGCUAGGGGGCCAUCCCGGCUUACCAACCCGAUGCAAACUGCGAAUACCGGAGAAUGUUAUCACGGGAGACACACGGCGGGUGCUAACGUCCGUCGUGAAGAGGGAAACAACCCAGACCGCCAGCUAAGGUCCCAAAGUCAUGGUUAAGUGGGAAACGAUGUGGGAAGGCCCAGACAGCCAGGAUGUUGGCUUAGAAGCAGCCAUCAUUUAAAGAAAGCGUAAUAGCUCACUGGUCGAGUCGGCCUGCGCGGAAGAUGUAACGGGGCUAAACCAUGCACCGAAGCUGCGGCAGCGACGCUGAUGCGUUGUUGGGUAGGGGAGCGUUCUGUAAGCCUGUGAAGGUGGCCUGUGAGGGUUGCUGGAGGUAUCAGAAGUGCGAAUGCUGACAUAAGUAACGAUAAAGCGGGUGAAAAGCCCGCUCGCCGGAAGACCAAGGGUUCCUGUCCAACGUUAAUCGGGGCAGGGUGAGUCGACCCCUAAGGCGAGGCCGAAAGGCGUAGUCGAUGGGAAACGGGUUAAUAUUCCCGUACUUGGUGUUACUGCGAAGGGGGGACGGAGAAGGCUAUGUUGGCCGGGCGACGGUUGUCCCGGUUUAAGCGUGUAGGUGUGUGUUCCAGGUAAAUCCGGUUCACUUUAACACUGAGGCGUGAUGACGAGGCACUACGGUGCUGAAGCAACAAAUGCCCUGCUUCCAGGAAAAGCCUCUAAGCAUCAGGUAACAUCAAAUCGUACCCCAAACCGACACAGGUGGUCAGGUAGAGAAUACCAAGGCGCUUGAGAGAACUCGGGUGAAGGAACUAGGCAAAAUGGUGCCGUAACUUCGGGAGAAGGCACGCUGACACGUAGGUGAAGUGAUUUACUCAUGGAGCUGAAGUCAGUCGAAGAUACCAGCUGGCUGCAACUGUUUAUUAAAAACACAGCACUGUGCAAACACGAAAGUGGACGUAUACGGUGUGACGCCUGCCCGGUGCCGGAAGGUUAAUUGAUGGGGUCAGCGCAAGCGAAGCUCCUGAUCGAAGCCCCGGUAAACGGCGGCCGUAACUAUAACGGUCCUAAGGUAGCGAAAUUCCUUGUCGGGUAAGUUCCGACCUGCACGAAUGGCGUAAUGAUGGCCAGGCUGUCUCCACCCGAGACUCAGUGAAAUUGAACUCGCUGUGAAGAUGCAGUGUACCCGCGGCAAGACGGAAAGACCCCGUGAACCUUUACUAUAGCUUGACACUGAACAUUGAGCCUUGAUGUGUAGGAUAGGUGGGAGGCUUUGAAGCGUGGACGCCAGUCUGCAUGGAGCCGGCCUUGAAAUACCACCCUUUAAUGUUUGAUGUUCUAACGUGGACCCGUGAUCCGGGUUGCGGACAGUGUCUGGUGGGUAGUUUGACUGGGGCGGUCUCCUCCUAA
rnacentral:rRNA from 1 species